rfam:Oryza barthii chromosome 3, whole genome shotgun sequence.
UUUAAGUGCAGUUGUGAAUUUCUGUGUCCAACGUUUGAUUGUCCGUCUUAUUUAAAAUUCUUUUGUGAUUAGUAUUUUUAUCAUUAUUGGAUGAUAAAAUAUGAAUAGUACUUUAUGUGUGAUUUUUUUAAUUUUUUCAUAAAAUUUUCAAAUAAGACGAACGAUCACGUUGUACACGAAAACCCACAACUACACUUAAA